rnacentral:rRNA from 1 species
AUACGUAGGGUGCGAGCGUUGUCCGGAAUUACUGGGCGUAAAGAGCUCGUAGGUGGUUUGUCGCGUCGUCUGUGAAAUUCCGGGGCUUAACUCCGGGCGUGCAGGCGAUACGGGCAUAACUUGAGUACUGUAGGGGAGACUGGAAUUCCUGGGGUAGCGGUGAAAUGCGCAGAUAUCAGGAGGAACACCGGUGGCGAAGGGGGGUCUCUGGGCAGUAACUGACGCUGAGGAGCGAAAGCAUGGGUAGCGAACAGGAUUAGAUACCCUGGUAGUCCAUGCCGUAAACGGUGGGCGCUAGGUGUAGGGGUCUUCCACGACUUCUGUGCCGUAGCUAACGCAUUAAGCGCCCCGCCUGGGGAGUACGGCCGCAAGGCUAAAACUCAAAGGAAUUGACGGG